GAUCUUUGAAGUUCAUCUUCAUCUUCACGAGGAAGAUGAAGAUCAUGCGUUUUCCAGUAUUGGCUAGGAAUUUGCUACGAUUUUGCUAUGAUGAUCAUGAAUUAGCUACGAAUCUAGAAAUGCCAUGCAGCGCUAGGGUUAUCCAGUGAAACGGCGCCGUUUCAUGUGAGGCGCGCGUUUUCAAAUCUGGACGAGGUUCGAUCCUGGUUGAACGCUAUUUUCAAAAUGCCUUGCUAUUU
rnacentral:lncRNA from 1 species